UACGUAGGGGACCAGCGUUGUCCGGAUUUACUGGGCGUAAAGAGCGCGCAGGCGGUCGUUCAAGUCGAGUGUGAAAGCCCCCGGCUCAACUGGGGAGGGUCACUCGAUACUGAUCGACUUGAAGGCAGGAGAGGGAAGCGGAAUUCCCGGUGUAGUGGUGAAAUGCGUAGAUAUCGGGAGGAACACCAGUGGCGAAGGCGGUUCUCUGGGCAUUACCUGACGCUGAGGAGCGAAAGUGUGGGGAGCGAACAGG
rnacentral:rRNA from 1 species